AUUGAACGCUGGCGGCAGGCCUAACACAUGCAAGUCGAGCGGUAGAGCGAAGCCUGCUUCUCUUGAGAGCGGCGGACGGGUGAGUAAUGCCUAGGAAUCUGCCUGGUAGUGGGGGAUAACGUUCGGAAACGGACGCUAAUACCGCAUACGUCCUACGGGAGAAAGCAGGGGACCUUCGGGCCUUGCGCUAUCAGAUGAGCCUAGGUCGGAUUAGCUAGUUGGUGGGGUAAUGGCUCACCAAGGCGACGAUCCGUAACUGGUCUGAGAGGAUGAUCAGUCACACUGGAACUGAGACACGGUCCAGACUCCUACGGGAGGCAGCAGUGGGGAAUAUUGGACAAUGGGCGAAAGCCUGAUCCAGCCAUGCCGCGUGUGUGAAGAAGGUCUUCGGAUUGUAAAGCACUUUAAGUUGGGAGGAAGGGCAGUAAAUUAAUACUUUGCUGUUUGGACGUGACCGACAGAAUAAGCACCGGCUAACUCUGU
rnacentral:rRNA from 1 species